GUGGGGAAUAUUGGGCAAUGGGCGCAAGCCUGACCCAGCAACGCCGCGUGAAGGAAGAAGGCUUUCGGGUUGUAAACUUCUUUUACCAGGGACGAAACAAAUGACGGUACCUGGUGAAUAAGCCACGGCUAACUACGUGCCAGCAGCCGCGGUAAUACGUAGGUGGCGAGCGUUAUCCGGAUUUAUUGGGUGUAAAGGGCGUGUAGGCGGGACAGCAAGUCAGAUGUGAAAACCAGAGGCUCAACCUCUGGCCUGCAUUUGAAACUGUUGUUCUUGAGUGUCGGAGAGGUAAUCGGAAUUCCGUGUGUAGCGGUGAAAUGCGUAGAUAUACGGAGGAACACCAGUGGCGAAGGCGGAUUACUGGACGAUAACUGACGCUGAGGCGCGAAAGCGUGGGGAGCAAACAGGAUUAGAAACCCCAGUAGUCC
rnacentral:rRNA from 1 species